GGAAAUUUUUAAGACUGUAAUAAGCUGCUGCAUGCUGCCUAGGAAAAUUUUAAUACUACUUGAAAAAUUAAACUAAUGCAAGUUUAUAAAAAUAGAAUAUGCUGCUGCAUGCUUAAUAGUGGUAGUACAACAAAA
rnacentral:rRNA from 14 species